UUUUUUGUUUCUCUAAUUAGUCCUAGAUAUAUAUAAGAAUAGGAAUUGCAAGCACAUAGAUAACACACGUU
rnacentral:sRNA from 1 species